UCCCUGGUGGUCCAGCUGCUAAGACUCUGUGCUCUCAAUGCAAGGAGCCUGGGUUCAAUCCCUGGUCAGGGAA
rfam:Ovis aries breed Texel chromosome 15, whole genome shotgun sequence.